GGAGGAUCCGAGCGUUAUCCGGAUUUAUUGGGUUUAAAGGGUGCGUAGGCGGCCUAUUAAGUCAGGGGUGAAAUACGGUGGCUCAACCAUCGCAGUGCCUUUGAUACUGAUGGGCUUGAAUCCAUUUGAAGUGGGCGGAAUAAGACAAGUAGCGGUGAAAUGCAUAGAUAUGUCUUAGAACUCCGAUUGCGAAGGCAGCUCACUAAGCUGGUAUUGACGCUGAUGCACGAAAGCGUGGGGAUCGAACAGGAUUAGAUACCCUGGUAGUCCACGCCCUAAACGAUGAUAACUCGAUGUUGGCGAUAGACAGCCAGCGUCCCAGCGAAAGCGUUAAGUUAUCCACCUGGGGAGUACGCCCGCAAGGGUGAAACUCAAAGGAAUUGACGGGGGCCCGCACAAGCGGAGGAGCAUGUGGUUUAAUUCGAUGAUACGCGAGGAACCUUACCCGGGCUUGAAAGUUAGUGAAGAGUGCAGAGACGCACUCGUCCUUCGGGACACGAAACUAGGUGC
rnacentral:rRNA from 1 species